rnacentral:rRNA from 1 species
UACGUAGGUGGCGAGCGUUGUCCGGAUUUACUGGGCGUAAAGAGCGCGCAGGCGGUCGGAUCAGUCGAAUGUGAAAGCCCCCGGCUUAACUGGGGAGGUCAUUCGAUACUGUUCGACUCGAAGGCAGGAGAGGGAAGUGGAAUUCCCGGUGUAGUGGUGAAAUGCGUAGAUAUCGGGAGGAACACCAGUGGCGAAGGCGGUGCUCUGGGCCGGAACUGACGCUGAGGAGCGAAAGCGUGGGGAGCAAACAGG